UCCAGUCAAACACAAAUGCCAUCUGGCUAA
rnacentral:piRNA from 1 species